rnacentral:rRNA from 1 species
AUUGAACGCUGGCGGCAGGCCUAACACAUGCAAGUCGAACGAGUGGCGGACGGGUGAGUAAUGUCUGGGACACUGCCUGAUGGAGGGGGAUAACUACUGGAAACGGUAGCUAAUCCCGCAUACCAUCGGAUGUGCCCAGAUGGGAUUAGCUAGUAGGUGGGGUAAAGGCUCACCUAGUCGACGAUCCCUAGCUGGUCUGAGAGGAUGACCGUCCACACUGUAACUGAGACACGGUCCAGACUCCUACGUGAGGCAGCAGUGGGGAAUAUUCCACAAUGGGCGCAAGCCUGAUGCAGCCAUGCCGCGUGUAUGAAGAAGGCCUUCGGGUUGUAAAGUACUUUCAGCGGGGAGGCGUUACCCGCAGAAGAAGCACCGGCUAACUCCGUGCCAGCAGCCGCGGUAAUAC